rnacentral:rRNA from 1 species
UACGUAGGGACCAAGCGUUGUCCGGAAUCAUUGGGCGUAAAGCGCGCGUAGGUGGCCAUUUAAGUCCGCUGUGAAAGUCAAAGGCUCAACCUUUGAAAGCCGGUGGAUACUGGAUGGCUAGAGUACGGAAGAGGCGAGUGGAAUUCCUGGUGUAGCGGUGGAAUGCGCAGAUAUCAGGAGGAACACCAAUAGCGAAGGCAGCUCGCUGGGACGUUACUGACACUGAGGCGCGAAAGCGUGGGGAGCGAACAGG